rnacentral:rRNA from 1 species
GAUGAACGCUAGCGGCAGGCCUAACACAUGCAAGUCGAGGGGCAUCGCGGUGCAGCAAUGCACUGGCAGCGACCGGCGUACGGGUGCGUAACGCGUAUGCAACCUGCCCCGCACCGGGGAUAGCCCGCCGAAAGGCGGAUUAAUACCCCAUGGUCCCGGGGGCCCGCAUGGGCAUCCGGGUAAAGCCUUGGCGGUGCGGGAUGGGCGUGCGUGCCAUUAGCUGGCUGGUGGGGUAACGGCCCACCAGGGCAACGAUGGCUAGGGGGUCUGAGAGGAUGGUCCCCCACACUGGUACUGAGACACGGACCAGACUCCUACGGGAGGCAGCAGUGAGGAAUAUUGGUCAAUGGGCGGAAGCCUGAACCAGCCAUGCCGCGUGCGGGAUGAAGGCCCUACGGGUUGUAAACCGCUUUUCCCCGGGAAGAAUAAGCCCCCCGCGGGGGGUGAUGCCGGUACCGGGGGAAUAAGGAUCGGCUAACUCCGUG